ensembl:lncRNA
CUGAUUGGGAGGGAUUGGGAACAGGAGGAGAAGGGGACGACAGACGAUGAGAUGGCUGGAUGGCAUCACUGACUCGAUGGACAUGAGUCUGAGUGAACUCCGGGAGUAGGUGAUGGACAGGGAGGCCUGGCAUGCUGUGAUUCAUGGGGUCGCAAAGAGUCGGACACGACUGAGCGACUGAGCUGAACUGAUAAUACAGAUAACUAAUGAAAACCUAUUAUAUGGCUCAGGAGAUCGGUCCCCUCUGGGAGCAGCCCUGCUGUUCUGGGAGCCUCAACACAGCAGGGCAGGUUAUGUUGUGAUGAGUGGCCUCUGGGUCUGCUAACCUUCUGAAACGACUGCCCAGGCAGGCUGGGACCCGGUCACCAGCCCAGGGUGGAAAGCACAUUUGCAUUACAAGAAAUGGAAGGCAACACCCCUAGAGCCCCCAGCUGAGUAACAGGAACCCGGGCUCAGUUCCCCUGCUGUUGGGACUGCACUGAGAACUGGAAAAAAAGAAGCCGGUGGCAGGGUGACAUCAAGCCAUGCAGUUUCAGAUUCAACCCAUAUUUAAAUGGAAAUCACAGCAACAAAGAAUAUGACUUUCCCUUGCAAAUAUGGGUGUUCAUUUCUCCUUCAAAGGAACCGAGACAGUGUGAGGCGUGAUGGCGUGGCUUUAUGUGAUGGUGGGCACUUUUCCGGAGUCUCUCCUUGGUCUCUCAUCCAGCCCUCCACGGUGGGUCCUGAUGUCCAUGCACCAACUGGGAAACCAAGGCCUUAGUUUUCCAAGAGUUUGGAUGCACGUGCCAGGACCAAGGAGCAAGGCUCGCCACUACUGGUUAGUCACGUGCUUGCUAAACACGUGGAAACAGCAGGUCCUGCACGGCUCUCUCUGUGCUCAGGAAGGAGGGUGGGGGUCCCUGUCCAUUCUUGAACAGUGGUAAGUAUUUUAAACCCUUAUGUUAGUUUCAAUCUUCAGGUAAUAGACAACAUUCAUUAUAGAAAAAUCAGAAGAUUUUUUAGAAAAAGGUGGAAUGACUUCCCUGGUGGCCCAGGGGCUAAGGCUUCAAGCUCCCAAGGCAGGGGUCCAGGGUUCAAUCCCUGGUCAAGGAACUGGAUCCCACAGACCACAACUAAGAGUUUUCGUGCCACAGCUAAAGAUCCCACAUGCUGCAACGAAGACCUGCGGCAGCCAAAUAAAUGAGUGAGUAAAAUAAACAUUAAAAAAUAAAAAGGGGGAGAGGAAUGUCCAUCAUUUCACUGUCUGAUUUGGUGCAUGUUCUUUCAAAUUGUUUCUGAUCAUAUACACACAGGUGUAGGUUUCUACAUGUGAAUGCAUUUCCAUGAGGCUCUACAUUCCUGGUUUACAACAGGCUUCAUUUCCUUCACAUGGGGUGGACGUUUUUCCAUGGCAACGAUUUAAGAUAUUUUCAAGGGCUGCAUAGAAUUCCAUAUACAGCCAUAUCAUAAUUUGUUUAAUUCCUUCCUUUGGUUGGACAUUUGAUUAUCUCCUUAACAUAAAUUCCAAGAGCUGGAAUGCCUUGGACAAAGGUUCCAAACGAAUUUUGUUGUAGUUGUGAAGCUGGCUUGCAGAGGCACUGUGAGCACACCAGAAGCCCACCCUCCCUCCAGCCAUGGGCUGGAUGGCUGUUCUCAUCCUUGCCAGCCUUACCCGUGGAUUGUGGCCCACCGGACUCCUCUGUCCUCAGUUCAUGGGAUUUCCAAGAGUACUGGAGUGGGCUUCCAUUUCCUUCUCCAUAAAAAAGGGUAUUUACUGUUAAGAGUGAGAUUAAAUAUUUUAAAUAUAUUUAUUAGAUGUUUCAUUUUAGUGAUGUGUAUUCAUAUCUUUAUUUAUUUACUGGUAUUUAGUUACAAACGGGUCUGGGAGAUGGAAACCUGAGAGCCUCGUGUUUGGCCUCCACCGGUGAUUCGGGAAGUUUUUGAUGGAGGCCCGUAAUGGGAGGCACAGCUGACCCUUGAACGACAUGGGGGCUCGGGGCACC